rnacentral:rRNA from 1 species
CCCUUAGAUGUUCUGGGCUGCACGCGCGCUACACUGAAGCGUUCAACGAGUAUUUCACCUUGCCCGGGAGGGUUGGGUAAUCUUUUUAAAACGCUUCGUGAUGGGGAUAGAUUAUUGCAAUUAUUAAUCUUCAACGAGGAAUUCCUAGUAAGCGCGAGUCAUCAGCUCGUGCUGAUUACGUCCCUGCCCUUUGUACACACCGCCCGUCGCGCCUACCGAUUGAGUGAUCCGGUGAAUAAUUCGGACUGCAGCAGUGCUUGGUCCUCCGGGCUUUGCAGUGGAAAGUUUAGUGAACCUUAUCACUUAGAGGAAGGAGAAGUCGUAACA